UACAGGGGGUGCAAACGUUGCUCGGAAUUAUUGGGCGUAAAGCGCGCGUAGGCGGCUACUUAAGUCGGAUGUGAAAGCCCUUGGCUCAACUGAGGAAGUGCACCCGAAACUGAGUAGCUGGAGUACGAGAGAGGGUCGCGGAAUUCCCGGUGUAGAGGUGAAAUUCGUAGAUAUCGGGAGGAACACCAGUGGCGAAGGCGGCGACCUGGGUCGAUACUGACGCUGAGGCGCGAAAGCGUGGGGAGCAAACAGG
rnacentral:rRNA from 1 species